GGGCUUCUGCCUGAGCGGUGGGCGGAAGAUGGCUUCCUGUGGGCAGGCGAAGGUGGAGCUGCGGCUGAGCCUCGCGCGCGCUUUGGACCCAAAGCUCUGGCGGUUUCCACAGUGAAGUUUGGAAGUGGCCCCUGAAGGCGAGGCGAAGCAGAAGGACGAGGCAGGCCACUCCAGAGGGAUAGGUGGCGGUUUUAAAAGGCGACGGAACCUACUGAGGAGGCUUGGCCUGGGCAGCUGCGGCCCGGCGCCUUCGGAGUUUGCGCAGAAGCCUGGGGGCGGGGCGUUUGGUCACGUGCUCGCCCCACGUGGUACCCGCAGCACGAUGCCCUUGCCAGGCUGCAUCCUCCGAAGGGCAGGAAGAGUGGGUGGAGGGCACCCCCGGGACCCGGGACGGCUGAGCAGUCUGCCGUUAGGCCCGGCCGGCUGUCUCGGCUUCUCCGUGGCCUCGAGCAACAAGCUGGAGCCAGAGGAUGAGAAGCGAGCCCGCUGCAGGGCCGAGCUGGCCAGAUGAAGAGAAGAGGCCGGCGGGCACUGAAGGCUGCACUCCUGGAGGCUUUGCUCCAUAUCCUUCCAUUUUCUUUUCUUUUUUUUUUUUUUUUCUCCUCUUCUUCCCUCCUGGCUGGAGGCCUCUCCUCUUGUUUCACACCUGGGGUCGCCAGGAGCCACCAUGUGGGAGCAGUGCUAUGUGCUUCCACCACGUGGAAGCAGUAGUAUUUAUAAGUUCAGUUGCAUUUAUAGCUCACGUGGCUGUACCGGGGAGGGGAGCGGAGCCAAAACGAUGAGAAGCAGAUUCCCACCUUGUUGUUUGGGCUCUGGAAGCCUGCUGCUGUCCCUGAACGUAGCUCUGCACCUGGACUGCUGAACACACGGUAAACAGUGACCCCCGCCCUCGGCUGAACUGAUUCUAGUUGCGUUUCUCUUUGUGAUGCAAAGAGAAGAGACCCUGGUCUAUACUACCUCCAGAAGAAGCAGGCAAGAGCCAGCUGGAUUUAAGGAUCUGGGGCAAUCCAUUCGAAGCUUAAAAGGAAAAGAAAACCGCAGGGCUGCAGACUCUGAGCACACCUCCUGGACAGCCCCCACCUGAACCGAGGAAGAGUGUGGGCGGCCAAGCUGCAGUCAGCAGUCUGCAUAGAGAGCAGGACUAGCCCAGGUGGGGAAGGAGGGACCGCAGACUGACAGUCAGGAAUGGCAGUGGCAUAAAUCAAGGCUUGAGGAUGGGUAGCUGUGUUUCCUUGGAGGAGGAAAGCGCAGUGCUUGAUGGAUGAGAAGGGCUCCGCUUGAGUCUGAGGAACCCUGAUCAUUCUGCAGUGCUUCGUUUUACGUGCACAGUACCGGUAUCCAUUGGGCAUUUGGCAGCAGCUUGUUGAAUUGAAUUGGCAGUGGACAGAGUGGCUGCGCUCCAUGAAGAAAACCUCAUCCAGGAGGCUGGACAGAGGGAAAAGGAUUUGGAGAGGAAUGGGUGUUUUCUGGCUCCUGGUAGAAAUAAAUCCAUCAAUAUGCUUUGAACUUGUUGAUAAAAAGGCUGGUUUCUGCAGACAUCACCAAACCUUGAGAACUUCCUGGGAGCCAGCCAGCGUCUUGAUGGAGCACACAGCCAGGCCUGUCUGGCUACUUGGUGGAGACUUGUUUAUCACAUUGGUGUAUCCUCCACUGUCCCUAAAGUGCAGUAGGAACCCAACAAUCCAGAAGUUGUGACGGCUCUGGAAUUGCUGCCCGAUCCAUUGCCUCCGCCUGCCCUCCAGAGGGGCAAGGCAAACAUCCGAGUUCUCCAGGGCUGAAUCGGCAGGGCUGAUGAGACAGCUGGAUGCCAGAGGGGGCGGCGGGGGAUGCUCAGCCAGGCAUGCAAGCUGGCAGGUAUUUCAGUCCCAGAGCUGAUAUGACCUCUCCUGAGCCUCUCAAACUCCUGAGCUGUCACACCCACCCUCCCACUGGAACCCUACCCCAGGUCAUCUCUAGUAGGAAGGCUAACAAUUGUACUGCCACAGCAUUCCAAAAAGAUGACUGUUCCACCUUCCCCCAACCAUGGGGCUCUGCCUGCCAGCAAGCAGUGGGUGAGCCCACUCCAGAGCAUAUUUUAGAAUCCGGUUCUUAGGAUCCUUCUUGAUAUCAGCUACUAGGUUGUGUUCUUUGGAGUGAAACUCUGAAGUGGAGAUAUGCCUGCAGGAAGUUUACUGAGGAGACAUCCUAUGAAGGAGUGAGGGAAGCAGGAUGAAGUGAAGAGAGAAGCUGGACUGGGAUGAGGUGGCUGUGGAAACCUCAACUGAUCCCACUUGGAGCUCUGAAGCUGGGAAAGGCCUUCAACCUUGUGCCCAACUAAUUAGUCAUUAGAUGGGGACUUCCCCCUUGGAUGAGGCAGCUCCCUUUGGCCAAGGGGUGGUUUCUGAGGAAGACUCAGCAGCGAGCCAUCAGGAACCAACCUCCUGGCAGCUGGGGAAUGAGCUCUGCAGCCCUGUGGGGUGACCACCAUAGUCACUCUCCAUCCAUGUCACUGUGAUGUAGAAUGAACUAGUGGUAGGUCUCUGGACCCAAGUAUGUGUAGGACCGCACUGCUCUCCUGCAACAGCUUUGCCCUCUGUGAGACUGUGGUGGUGGCUGCUAUAUUCUCCCAUGGUAACCUCCUGGCCAGAGUUGCCUUCUUCAGGGGAGGGCAUCUCAAUGAAGCUGGCCCAUUAUGAUACCUGUCUUUUUGGCCACUGGUGAUUGAGCAGUAUGGGCACUUGCACUAUGCUGGUACAGUCACAAGUCUUUCCUUGGUGGGGGGAAGUUGUGUGUAGGACAGAAUAUUAAUCCACACUUCCUUGAGGAUGAGAGGCCCAUGAUGUCAAUCUUGGGAACUUUGGUGGUUGGAGAGGAGGUCACUUUGCAGUGGGAGAGUUGAAUCUGAUGUACUGAGGGAAACAGACAUGCAAGACAGAGUCAUAUGAGCCCUGGUGAGCUCUAGGGCCCUGGUUCCAGCUGUGCCUGAAGUCCACAUUUUUUCUUCCUGCCCCAUGGUUUGGUUGGUUAACUUCGCUUUUAACUAUCAUUUUAUUAAAUCCCAGUUGUUGCUUAAGUCCAUUUGAGUUGGAUUCCUGUUAAUGGCAACCAAGUGAAUCCCAAUACAUGUGAAACUAUAAAGAGUUAUGCUUUUAAAUGUGGCUUGGUCUAUCACGAUCAACCCUUUUGUCAACUCCAUAAAGUUCCAACUUAAUGAACUUCUCUGGUCACAAGCUGAGGUCUUAAGGGCCAUUUCUGGCCCUCAGCUGUAUUUUGUUUGGUACGAUGUUUUAAAAAAUCCAUUUAUAAUCAUUUAAUAAUUGGGAAAUUUAUAUAGUAUUGACCUUUUAGUUUCUCUUAGUAUAUGGAAGACCUGUCUGCAUUGGGAGUGGAAACAGCUGGCAGGUACAAGCCAAGAAGCAGCUGACCCACCUUUCAAAGGGGCAUGCACUCCCUAUUACUCUUCAUUCCUCCCUCUUUGUUUAUGUACCUGCCUGUAUUCUGUAGCCAUUUUAGGUAGUUGUUCCUGUUUUAUGCAAAUCCCGCUAGUUAGAUGGCCUUUUCUGACAUGGUCAAACUUUCAGUUCCAGAGGGGGCCAGAACAGAUACUGGAUACUGUGGAGGGAAGAAGAGAUGCAGUAAAGUAGGUAGGGGCUCUUGGAACGCCCUAACGAAGCUCUCUGAAAUCAGAAAGCUGCACAAAUGUGAAUUACCAUCAUUGUUAUUAAUAACAACCGAAAGGACAGGAGAUGUGGAAGUCAGCCCCUACUUCGCCACCUCCCCAAGCCCAGAAGGGUAUUUGUGCCAUCACGAUGGCAUUUAUCAUUGGCAUCGACAGUUAUUAUUAAACUACGUCAACGUGCAAAUGCAAAAUGUUUACCAAACGAACUAACAUGAGCUGGCAGAAAUAAUAUCUAGGCACUGUCUACCUUUAACUGUUCUUUCCAUAAAUUGCUGUGGCAUUUCUCCAGGGCUCAGAGUCAAUGAAGAAGAAGAGAAAUGACUCUUCCGGCUUGUUGAAGGUGUUACUUGUUAUUCCAGCUGGUGUCCUGUUUGUUCCAUCGUCUCCCUUGCCACUGCUGAUGGUAGUCCCUGUCACUGAUUUAGGAUACUGGACACUGCCGGCCAGCUCUCUACUCUGAUCCCAUAUAUUAAAAAGCAGGUGAAGUGUCUCUCCCUUUGUGUCUGUCUCUUUCCCAAAUCAAAGUCGAUUGACUACAGUGCGUCAUUUUUAAGCUCCCAAGUGCAGGCAGAGGCUUAAUAAAGCAUCUUGCUGUGAUCUGCCAGCAAGCCACACCUCGAAAAUGUGGUUUUAUAUAAACGUGUGUGUUUGUGACUGCCUUACUGUGCCUAACUCCCGUGUCACUGAGGCUUUAUUUAAUGCACAUGCAAGACCAACCAUUGCCUGGCCCACCUGAACAGGUCUCCACUUUCUCUGACCUCUUCCCCUGCCAUGUUUAUGGGUGCACCAGGAACAUGUCUUACUUCGUUAUUGGCCUUGGAAAAAGGAGAGACUCAUGGAGCAGGGUUACUCCAGCAUAACUCCCAACUAGCAGCCUCAAGCAAAGCUGCUCUAGAUAACCCACAAAGGCAUG